CUGUUCGAGCGUCAUUAUAACCACUCAAGCCCUCGGCUUGGUCUUGGGGUUCGCGGUUUCGCGGCCCUUAAAAUCAGUGGCGGUGCGUCUGGCUCUAAGCGUAGUAAUCCUCUCGCUAUAGGGUCCAGGUAACCACCUGCCAGAACCCCCCAUUCUUUAUGGUUGACCUCGGAUCAGGUAGGGAUACCCGCUGAACUUAA
rnacentral:misc_RNA from 1 species